rnacentral:rRNA from 1 species
UACGGAGGGUGCAACCGUUGUUCGGAAUUACUGGGCGUAAAGGGCGCGUAGGCGGUGUGUCAAGUCAGGCGUGAAAGCCCCGGGCUCAACCUGGGAACCGCGCUUGAGACUGGCACGCUCGAGUUCGGGAGAGGAUGGUGGAAUUCCCAGUGUAGAGGUGAAAUUCGUAGAUAUUGGGAAGAACACCGAUGGCGAAGGCAGCCAUCUGGACCGACACUGACGCUGAGGCGCGAAAGCGUGGGGAGCAAACAGG